AGCAAGGUUUCUAUUAAGCAGAAAACAAAAUAAUAAAAAAUACUAAAUUGAAAUUGUAUAAAAACAUAGGAAGUGAUGUAACAUAUUUUUGAAAACCAAAUUUGGUUUCUUACUGAAAUCCAGCACUUAAGAAAGGCGAGGAGUCGGUAUUGUGCACUUAUACCAAAAGUUUUUGCUGAAGAACUUAUUUGAAGAUUUUAGAGGGAGAAUAUGGCAUGAAAGAAUAUUUUUACGGAAGCCUUACGGAAGAGUUUCAAAACGUCAAGGCUCAAAACCUCAGGACUUACGAGAGGAUUUACCAAAUUCGAGCUGCAGUGACGGCAUGCGUAGAAGAUUUUGGUCAACCUUCUAGGGCCUCGCCCUCUAUGGAAUAUUUGGAACCACUUAGAAAUAAUAUUUAAAGACGGUGAUAUCGUUACAUAUGUAAUUCGGUAUUCACUGACUAUUUGUAUUGGCUGUAAAGGAGAUUCACAAUUUUGGAUAUUAUUUAGCUCUUUUCUACAAUAUAUACCUCAAAAUAAAUAUUAUGAUCUCAAAAAUUCUAAAGACAAAAAUAGAAAAAUUGCCACUAGAGGGUGUUUUUCGAGUGAGUCGAAUAUUCGGUUGACAUAAUCACUCGGCAGAGUCAGAGAGAUGCCACUGCCGCUAUGAAGCAGAAUGUCGAAAAAAAAUCGGAUGAGUCUAUCCGCCAUCGCCGCAACAAUUGAAGUUGUGCCCAUCCAAAGAAUAUUGAUUUGUAGUCUUAGAAAAUCCAACAUACGAAAAAAUAUAAGACGAACGACGAUAAAAGCGUUGCACAUGGUGUGAAUGGACCCAAACCGAGAUGGCGACUGAUCCUGAUGCUUGCAGUGACUACGGAACUAUGUAAAUAGAACCAUGAGUAAUGACUUUUUGUGACUGCAUUGGAGGAUGUUGAUGUGGACGAUCUUUGGUUCCAAUAAGACGGCACUACAUGGCAUACAAGCAUUUAUUUAAGGAAACUUUUGGUGGGCAUAGGCCUGUAGUAUGAUCUCUGAGAUAGUGCGCUUUAACACCGCUGGACUAUUUUUAUGAGGUUAUGUAUACGCAAAUAAGCAAUUGAAGUCUUGAAAAAUAAUAUUCGGUGCGGUAUUGCUGACAUACGGUAGCAAAUGAUGCGAAAGUGGUCGAAGAGUGGGUCCCUUAGCUGGAUUUCAUUCGCUCACCUGUUUGAAAUCAUUUUUAAAAUAUUAUAUAAAACUCUUAUGUUCAGAAUUAAGCUAAAUGUUUGGCAUUAACAAUAAAUUAU
rnacentral:misc_RNA from 1 species